GUGGGGAAUAUUGGACAAUGGGGGCAACCCUGAUCCAGCAAUGCCGCGUGUGUGAAGAAGGCCUGAGGGUUGUAAAGCACUUUCAGUGGGGAGGAGGGUUUCCAGGUUAAGAGCUAGGGAAUUGGACGUUACCCACAGAAGAAGCACCGGCUAACUCCGUGCCAGCAGCCGCGGUAAUACGGAGGGUGCGAGCGUUAAUCGGAAUUACUGGGCGUAAAGAGUGCGUAGGUGGUUUAUUAAGUUAUCUGUGAAAUCCCUGGGCUCAACCUGGGCAGGUCAGAUAAGACUGGUAGACUCGAGUAUGGGAGAGGGUAGUGGAAUUUCCGGUGUAGCGGUGAAAUGCGUAGAGAUCGGAAGGAACACCAGUGGCGAAGGCGGCUACCUGGCCUAAUACUGACACUGAGGCACGAAAGCGUGGGGAGCAAACAGGAUUAGAAACCCUAGUAGUCC
rnacentral:rRNA from 1 species